UACAGAGGGAGCAAGCGUUGUUCGGAAUUACUGGGCGUAAAGGGCGCGUAGGCGGCCCGCUAAGUCGAACGUGAAAUCCCCGAGCUCAACUCGGGAACUGCGUCCGAUACUGGCGGGCUUGAAUCCGGGAGAGGGAUGCGGAAUUCCAGGUGUAGCGGUGAAAUGCGUAGAUAUCUGGAGGAACACCGGUGGCGAAGGCGGCAUCCUGGACCGGCAUUGACGCUGAGGCGCGAAAGCUAGGGGAGCAAACGGG
rnacentral:rRNA from 1 species